CCGCGUGAGUGAUGAAGGUUUUCGGAUCGUAAAGCUCUGUUGUUAGGGAAGAACAAGUGCCGUUCAAAUAGGGCGGCACCUUGACGGUACCUAACCAGAAAGCCACGGCUAACUACGUGCCAGCAGCCGCGGUAAUACGUAGGUGGCAAGCGUUGUCCGGAAUUAUUGGGCGUAAAGGGCUCGCAGGCGGUUUCUUAAGUCUGAUGUGAAAGCCCCCGGCUCAACCGGGGAGGGUCAUUGGAAACUGGGGAACUUGAGUGCAGAAGAGGAGAGUGGAAUUCCACGUGUAGCGGUGAAAUGCGUAGAGAUGUGGAGGAACACCAGUGGCGAAGGCGACUCUCUGGUCUGUAACUGACGCUGAGGAGCGAAAGCGUGGGGAGCGAACAGGAUUAGAUACCCUGGUAGUCCACGCCGUAAACGAUGAGUGCUAAGUGUUAGGGGGUUUCCGCCCCUUAGUGCUGCAGCUAACGCAUUAAGCACUCCGCCUGGGGAGUACGGUCGCAAGACUGAAACUCAAAGGAAUUGACGGGGGCCCGCACAAGCGGUGGAGCAUGUGGUUUAAUUCGAAGCAACGCGAAGAACCUUACCAGGUCUUGACAUCCUCUGACAAUCCUAGAGAUAG
rnacentral:rRNA from 2 species